rnacentral:rRNA from 1 species
CCUACGGGAGGCAGCAGUAGGGAAUCUUGCGCAAUGGGCGAAAGCCUGACGCAGCGACGCCGCGUGAGGGAUGAAUGCCUUCGGGUUGUAAACCUCUUUCAGCAGGGACGAAGCCCUUUGGGUGACGGUACCUGCAGAAGAAGCCCCGGCCAACUACGUGCCAGCAGCCGCGGUAAUACGUAGGGGGCAAGCGUUGUCCGGAUUUAUUGGGCGUAAAGAGCUCGUAGGCGGCUGUCCACGUCGGGUGUGAAAGCUCAGAGCUCAACUCUGAGAGGCCAUUCGAUACGGGACGGCUAGAGGUAGGUAGGGGAAAGUGGAAUUCCUGGUGUAGCGGUGAAAUGCGCAGAUAUCAGGAGGAACACCGGUGGCGAAGGCGGCUUUCUGGGCCUUACCUGACGCUGAGGAGCGAAAGCUGGGGGAGCGAACAGGAUUAGAUACCCUGGUAGUCCCAGCCGUAAACGUUGAGUGCUAGGUGUGGGGAGGUCUUCAACCCUCUCUGUGCCGCAGCUAACGCAUUAAGCACUCCGCCUGGGGAGUACGGCCGCAAGGCUAAAACUCAAAGGAAUUGACGGGGACCCGCACAAGCGGCGGAGCAUGUGGCUUAAUUCGAUGCAACGCGAAGAACCUUACCUGGGCUUGACAUGCUGGUUAAACCCUGUGAAAGCAGGGCUCCGUAAGGGGCCAGCACAGGUGCUGCAUGGCUGUCGUCAGCUCGUGCCGUGAGGUGUUGGCUUAAGUGCCGCAACGAGCGCAACCCCUGUCCUUAGUUGCCAGCGCGUAAUGGCGGGGACUCUAAUGAGGCUGCCGGGGACAACUCGGAGGAGGUGGGGGAUGACGUCAAGUCAGCAUGGCUCUUAUGUCCAGGGCUGCACACAUGCUACAUUGCGCGCCACAAAGGGCUGCGAUCCCGCGGGGGGGGAGCGAAUCCCAAAAGCCGUCUCAGUUCGGAUUGGGUCUGCACUCGACCCAUGAGUCGAGUCGCUAGUAUCGCAGAUCAGCACGCCGCGUGAAUACGUUCCCGGG